rnacentral:lncRNA from 1 species
GUCAGCGGCCGGAAGGGAAACGCGAAGCCAGCGCGGCCGCGGGGGGAGUCCGGUUCCUUGAAGGUCCUCCGUCCUGGAGCAGUAAGAUCCUUGACGUAACUAGAAAUGGCAGGGUAAGGAGUGUUUGCCUGACAUCGUCUCGUUUUUACGGAAGAGGGCCCCUCACGAUGUGCCCAUCAGCCCCACCUGAAAUAGCAAGAAAUCUUCUUCAGCAGAGAGCGAAUAACAAGGAUAUUAAGAUAAAGAACAGGUGAAGGGGGCAGUCAGCUGAAGCUUGUAAGGGAAUUUUCCUCACGCCGGCACUUACCCCUUGCUUGCUAAUUUUUGUGUUCAACGUGUUUACAUAGACAUGUGACUGCAAAGUCCGAAAGAUCGUGUACAGAAUCUCUGAACGGUAACCAGAGUGUCUGUCAAGGCUCUGUAGUCAUUCUCUCGAUAGCUUUUGUGGAGGUUAUGGCACGCCCAUCUCUCCAUGCCAGAACCACCUGGUUCCAAAUGCUUUGCCUUUCUGCUGCUUGAAGUUGAUACUAUAAACAGUCUGCCCAACCCGUUUUGUUUCCCACUAGCAGGUGAUCCUUAGGAUUGUAGUUCUAUUCUACCAUCAUCUUCCCUUCUUCCUUGUCUUUCUCACAGAAUUGGGUUUUUGCAGACUUACUUUGGAUCCUGAGGCAGACAUUCGUUGUCCACUCAACAUACAUUCCCACGUAUCCCUUUUUUCCCUGCCAACACAACCCCAAUUAUUUUUAUUUGAAUUUUUUUUUUUUGAGACAAAGUCUCACUCUGUCGCCAAGGUUAGAGUGCAGUGGUGCGAUCACAGUUCACUACAGCCUCCACUUUAUGGGCUCAAGGGAUCCUCCCACUUCCCUAGUAGCUGGGGCUACAGGCGCUCUCCACCACACGUAACUAAUUGUUUUUUAUUUUUAGUAGGGACAGGGUCUUGCUAUGUUACCCAGGCUGGUCUCAAACUCCUGGCCUCAACUGAUCCUCCGGCCCAAAAUGUUAGGAUUACAGGUAUGAGCCAACGUGCUGGUCUCACGUUUUUUCAGGUAGCAGUUGAAACCAACCAUCAUGGUGAUCUGGCUUUUCUAGGGCUGGCCAUACAUAAUUGAGUUCCUCCUGAUAAAAGGUAAGCAACAAUCCUGAGAAACAUAGUGGGAGCCCUGUGUCUACAAAAAUUUAAAAGGUGGCUGGGCGCGUUGGCUCACUCCUGAAAUCCCGCACUUAGGGAGGCUGAGGUGAGCAAAUCACCUGAGGUCGGGAGCUCUAGACCGGCCUGACCAACAUGGACAAAGCUCAUCUCUGCUAAAAAUACAAAAUUAGGCAUGGUGGUGCAUGCCUGUAAUCCCAGCUACUCAGGAGGCUGAGGCAGGAGAAUCGCUUGAACCCGGGAGGCAGGGGUUGCGGUGAGCCGAGAUCGCGCCAUUGCACUCCAGCCUGGGAUAAGAGUGAAACUCCGUCUCAUAAAAAAAAAAAAAAAAAAAGGCCAGGCAUGGUGGUUCAUGCCUGUAAUCCCAGCGCUUUGGGAGGCCGAGGCGAGAAGAUCACUAAAUCAGGAGAUUGAGACCAUCCUGGCUAACACGGUGAAACCCCGUCUCUACUAAAAAUACAAAAAAUUAGCCAGGCAUGGUGGUGGGCGCCUGUAGUCCCAGCUACUUGGGAGGCUGAGGCAGGAGAAUGGCAUGAACCCAGGGAGCAAAGCUUGCAGUGAGCUGAGAUCGCGCCACUGCACUCCAGCCUGGGCGACACAGCAAGACUCCGUCUCAAAAAAAAAAAAAAAAAAUUACCUGGUCGUGGUGGCUCACGACUAUAAUCAUAGUACUUUGAGAGUCCAAGGCAGAUGGAUUGCUUGAGCCUGGGAGUUCUACAUCAACCUGGGCAACAUGGCAAAAGUCCAUCUCCAGUACAUAAGAAAAUUAGUGGAAUGUGGUGGUGCACACCUGUAAUCCCAGCUACUGGGGAGGCUGAGGUGGGAGGAUCACUAGAGCCCAGGAGAUUGAGACUGCAGUGAGCUGUGGUCAUACCACUGCAGUCUAGCCUGGGUGACAGAGUGAGACCCUCUCUGGAAAAAAAAAGAAAUGUAAGCAGAAAUCUGCAGGAUGGGUUCUUUGGGAAGAAUUCCCAAAAGAAUUCCUAAUACGAUGAGGGACAAAUUCAGCUAACAUACCAUUUAACCCUUUCUGCCUGAAACAUGGUCUUGAUGCACAAAGUAAUACCCAUCUUGUAAUUUUUUUAACAAUGAAAACUUUUACCCCAUUUGCGAUUUCAUUGUUUAAAAAAUUUGAUUAAACAGGCCGGGCACAGUGGCUCACGCCUGUAAUCCCAACACUUUGGGAGGCUGAGGCAGGUGGAUCACCUGAGGUCAGAGUUCAAGACCAGCCUUACCUACAUGCUGAAACCCCAUCUCUUCUAAAAAUAUAAAAAAUGAGCCGGGUGUGGUGGCGGGCACUUUGUAAUCCCAGCUACUCGGGAGGCUGAGGCUGGAGAAUUGCUUGAACCCGGGGGUGGAGGUUGCAGUGAGCCGAGAUUCUGCCAUUGCACUCCAGCCUGGGCAACAAGAGCAAAAAAAAUUCCAUCUCGAAAAAAAAUGAUAAAACAGAAUCAUAAAGUGUGGAUCCCUGAUGCAUCUUUGAACAACAGUCUAUGCUCAGACUGCUUAUGUGAGAAAAAUAAAAUGUAUUUUUCUUGGCUGGGCAUGGUGGCCUACACCUGUAUUCCCAGAACUUUGAGAGGCUAAGGAGGGCAGAUCACUUGAGGACAGGAGUUAGAGACCGGCCUGGCCAACGUAAUGAAACCCAUCUCUACUAAAAAUACAAAAAUUAGGCUGGGCGCAAUGGCUCACGCCUGUACUCCCAGCACUUUGGGAGGGGGAGGUGGGCAGAACACAAGGUCAGGAGUUCAAGACCAGCCUGGCCAACGUAGUGAAGCCUCGUCUCUACUAAAAAUACAAAAAUUAGCCGGGUUUGAUGGCGCAUGCCUAUAGUCCCAACUACUUGGGAGGCUGAGGCAAGAGAAUUGCUUGAACCCAGGAGGCAGAAGUUGCAGUGAGCCAAGAUCGCACCAGUGCACUCCAGCCUCGGCGACAGAGCAAGACUCCGUCUCAAAAAAAAAAAAAAGCCGGUUGUGGUGGAGGGCACCUGUAAUCCCAGCCACUCAGAAGGCUGAGGCAGGAGAAUCCCUUGAACCCGGGAGGCAGAGGUUGCAGUGAGCUGCAGUUGCCACUGCACUCCAGCCUGGAUGACAGAGCAAGACUCCUCAAAAAAGUUCUUUUUCUUUAAGCCAUUCUUCAGAUUUUCGUUACUUGUAACCAAACACAUUUCUAACUACUGAUUACAGAUACUCUUUUUUUUUUUUUUUUUUUUUUUUGAGUCUCGCUUUUUUUGCCCAGGCUGGAGUGCAGUGGAGUGAUCUCCGCUCACUGCCAGCUCCGCCUCCCGGGUUCAGGCCAUUCUCCUGCCUCAGCCUCCUGAGUAGCUGGGACUACAGGUGCCACCACCACACCUGUCUACUUUUUUGUAUUUUUAGUAGAGAUGGGGUUUCUCCAUGUUGGUCAGGCUGGUCUCGAACUCCCACCCUCAGGUGAUCCGCCCGCCUCGGCCUCCUAAAGUGCUGUGAUUACAGGCGUGAGCCACCGCGCCCGGCCAAGUGUGUAUAACUGUUGAUCAACAUUUUGAAGACCAGUUAUGACAGUUAAAUUAUUUGCCACAACUCAAAUGAACAGCAGAGCACUUUAUCACAAACUAACAUUCACCCUGGAAUGUACUGUACAGUCAACCUAUUCUGUCUCCUUCCAUCUCUCCAUUCCUAUGCCUUUCAUCUUUUUAUUUUAUUUUAAUUUUUUUUUGAGAUGGAGUCUUGCUCUGCUGCCCAGGGUGGAGUGCAGUGGCGCAAUCUCGGCUCACUGCAAGCUCUGCCUCCUGGGUUCAAGCGAUUCACCUGCCUCAGCCUCCUAAAUAGCUGGGAUUACAGAUGUGUGCCAUCACAUUGGGCUAAUAUUUAUAUUUUUAGUAGAGACAGGGAUCUUACUAUGUUGCCCAGGCUGUUCUUGAACUCGGUCUCAAGUGAUCCACCCACCUCAGCCUCCCAAAGUGAUGGGAUUACAGGUAUGAGCCACCAGCCCUGGCCUAAAUUUAAAAAAAAGGGUAUUCCUAUGUUGCCCAGACUGGUCUCGAACUCCUGAGCUCCAGCAAUCCUCCCACCUGCCAAAGUGCUAGGAUUACAGUUGAGCCACUGCACCCCACAGAGAUCUCACUGUGUUGCCCAGGCUGCAGUGCAGUGACAAUUCAUAGGCCCAGCAUGCUUUGAACGGCAUGCUUUGAGGUGAUCCUCCUGCCUCAGCCUCCCAAGUAGCUGGGACUACAGGCAUAUUCCACCACUUUCCUGGCUCAAGGAAUCCUCCUGCCUCAGCCUCCUGGGUAGCUGGGAGGACAAGUGUGUGUCACCACACCUGGACAACUGGGGGUGUAUUUGUAUCUUAUGGGAUGGAUAUUUGGUGAUUUGUUAUGAGCAAAUUGAUACCCUUCUGUUUGUGGAGAUUCUCUUGAAUCCUUUUUUCCAUACACUCCAUUUUCUUCUGUUUGGAACUCAUGUUUACUUAUGGAGUGGUCCUCAAAUUUUUAAAAGUUUAUAUUUUGCAUCUUUUUCUCUUUUCCCUCUAUUUUUGGGAGAUUUAAAUUUCUUUUUUUUUCUUUUUGAGGAGUCUCGCUGUCGCCCAGGCUGGAGUGCAGUGGCGCCGUCUCAGCUCACUGCAAGCUCCGCCUCCCGGGUUCACGCCAUUCUCCUGCGUCAGCCUCCCAAGUAGCUGGGACUACAGGUGCCCACCACCAUGCCCGGCUAAUUUCUUUGUAUUUUUAGUAGAGACAGGGUUUCACAGUGUUAGCCAGGAUGGUCUCCAUCUCCUGACCUCGUGAUCCGCCCGCCUUGGCCUCCCAAAGCGCUGGGAUUACACACGUGAGCCACCGCACCUGCCUCUGCAACUCAUUUUUUAUUUCUGCUAUUCUCUAAUUUCCAAAAUUCUGUUCUCUUGAUAUACCUUUACUGUGGUAUUGUUUUUCUUGGUUGCAGAAAGCUCUCAACUUUUCUAAGGGUACUGGUGAUUGAUAUUUUUGUUUACUUUUGCCUGUGCAGUCUGUUUUCAACUUGCCCGUUUCCAUUUUAAAAUUCAUAUUGAGACUGCCCUUAGAUGUCUGAUAAUCCUUAGUUGUCCAUUUACACACCCAUUAUAUAAAAUGUAUAGGGAAGGCCAGGCACGGUGGCUCACGCCUAUAAUCCCAGCACUUUGGGAGGCUGAGGUGGGUGGAUCACCUGAGGUCAGGAGUUUGAGACCAGCCUGUCUAAACAUGGCAAAACCCCAUCUUUAGUAAAAGCACAAACAGCUGGUUGCGUUGAUGCGUGCCUGCAGCCCCAGCUUCUCUGGAGGCUGAGGCUGGAGAAUCGCUUGAAUCCGGGAGGCGGAGGUAGUAGUGAGCCGAGAUCACGCCACUGCACUCCAGCCUGAGCAACAGAGCAAGAUUCUAUCACCCCCACCCCCCACCCCGCAAAAAAAAAAAUCAAUCUAUAUCUGAGAGAGAGUGUCUCACUCUGGCUGGAGUGCAGUGGCACAAUCUCAGCUCACAGCAACCUCUCCUUCCCAAAUUCAAGAGAUUCUCCUGGCUCAGCCUCCCAAGCAGCUGGAACUACAGGCACGUGCCACCACACUUGGCUAAUUUUUGUAUUUUUUUGUAGAGACAGGGUUUCACUGUGUUGGCCAGGCAGGUCUGGGACUCUUGGCCUCAAGUGAUCCGCCCACCUUGGCCUCCCAAAGGGCAGGGAUUACAGGUGUGAGCUACCAAGCCUGGCUCCACUCACCCUUUUGAGAAGGCUCAUGGCUACUUAGUUUACUUACAUUUUUUAAGAAUACAAUUAGUAUUUGUACCAGGUUACAUCUGUGUUCUCAUUCCAAGGCUAAUGUUUAUUCUUUGUUACAUUUAGAUGCUAAGUAGAGUUAGACAAGAAGUGCCCUCUAAUCCCAAAUAAAGGUAAAAUGAGUCAAAAUGCCACAGGAGGAAUUUGUUUCUUGAGAACAAAAGGUAUCUUAGGAACAUGUUCAUUUUACACAACUGCUGCAUUUACUAGGAACAAUAACCUUAGAAAUCUUGUUUGUAAAUCAAGGGGUCCAACUUCAUUUAAAAUGUUACUUGAUGCUUAAACACAAAUACCCACUAUCAUUAAUAUAGGAAUAAAUGAGUCAAUAAAGGAAAAAUAAAUGUAAACCAAGUUUAUUUUGCUUUUUAAGUAGUGUUCUUAAAGCACUACAGCUUGGUAAACAAUGUAAAUUAGUAUAAGUCAUCUCAAAAGCCAGAGUUGUUUUGUUUUUUAAUGAGUUGUUAAAAAGAUGCAGCCUAUUCUAACAGGAUAAAUAUUUUUAACCAUUUCACUUCGAGUUAAUGAAGGCUCACAAAUGAGCAACACUCCUCAUUGAGGAAAACAAAAAGCUGUUGUCGACAAGCGACAGCACACACACACAAAAACAAAAAGAACUGUGUAAAAAUAACUAACUGUGUUCCCAUAUUUUUGAAGUCGCUUUACAAUGGGAUGAUAUGCACAUGAUCUUGCUGCAAUCUUGCCAAAGAGACUUUGUAAUACAUGUAGUCUAGACAAACGAUUCAGUCCAAGAGGUGCUAACUUCAGACAAUGCAGCACUAUAAUCCUUUAAACAACGCAAUUUGUUUUACUCAUUAUCUUUUCUUCUAGGCUGAAAUAGACUAGAAGGAAAAUGCUCCCUAAUUAAAAAUUGGUAUUGUUUACAGGAAAAAUUGUAUAAUUUUGCAUUAGAAUUACAAGUAUAUGUUCAAAUCGAAUUUGCCUCCUCCCCCCAGCCCAGCCACAAAAAUGGGCAUGAAGUAAAAUUUUUAAAAAUGCCUUAAUUUUCAACUUCAUGCAAACUAAAUAAAGAUGACCAAAACAAAAGCUUAAACAAUGGAAGGAUAUUUCACAGAAAAUUUCUUAUACAAAAAAACACAUAAGAAAAAGGGCCACUAGGUGACAUUUUAAUUUACAAAUUGGCAUCAUUUUGGUCGACAAAUACCCACAUGCUGUUUUCCUCUGCUAACGAGUUGCAGAGAAAAAAAACAGCAUGAAUUUGGAUUUUAAUCACACAUUUCUUCUGGAAUCUCAUGUGGAUUAAAGAUGCCAGGGACAGACAUUUGACGUUUAUGUUUCUCUUCAUCAGCCUGCCGUAGGGCUAUUUCUCUCUCUUCCAAAAACAAAUCAGAAGUGUCUUCACCUGCAAAUUCCUGUGAAAACAGAUAGUUGAAAUGUCAACGCAAUAAACUUCAACUUGCAAAGAAAGAAAUCAUAGAUGAGCAAUUUCCUUUUUAGAGAAGGAAGGAAUAUAAAUUAUCCAUAAAGUGGCUGGGUUUUAAAUUAUAGGAUAGUGACACAGUAUACUACAUAGCUGAAUGAACUGCAAACCUGUUAACUGGUGGGGGGGAAGAUUACAAAAGAAUCAUGGGCCCCGGCAUGGUGGCUCACGCCUGUAAUCCCAACUUUGGGAGGCAGAGACGGGAAGAAUACUUGAUGUCAGGAGACCACCCUGGCCAACAUGGUGAAACCCUGUCAUUACUAAAAUUAGCCAUGCAUGGUGGCACAGGCGCCUGUAAUCCCAGCUACUUGGGAGGCUGAGGCAGGAGAAUCACUUGAACCUGCAUGGCGGAGGUUGCAGUGAGCCAAGAUCACGCCACUGCUCUCCAGCCUGGGUGAUAAAAGCGAGACUGUGCCCCCCCAAAAAAAACAAAAAAAAUGGUGUGAUACCUUACAGUAAAUAGUCUUCAAUGUGAUUAUUAUGCAUUGUAUGCUUCUACCGAAGUAUCUCAUGCAUCCCAUCCCCUAAGUAUAUACACCUACUAUGUAUUCACACAAAUUUUGUUCUCUUUGUGAUAGAGUCUUGUUCUGUAGCCCCAGCACAUUAUCUCAACCUCUUCCUCCAAGAUGCAAGCAAUUCUCCUGCCUCAGCCUCCCCAGCAGCUGGGAUUACAGGCACCACCACAUCUGGCUCAUUUUUUGUAUUUUUACUAGAGACGUAGUUUCACCAUGUUGCCCAGGCUGAUCUCAAACUCCCAAGCUCAGACAAUCCACCUGUCUCGGCCUCCCAAAGUGCUAGGAUUACAGGCAUGAGCCACUGCACCCAGACACUUUUUUCUCUUUUCUUUUGAGAGGCAGUCUUGCUCUGUCGCCCAGGCUGGCGUGCAGUGUUAUGAUCUCAGCUCACUGAAACCUCUGCCUCCUGGGUUCAAGUGAUUCUCCUGCCUCUGCCUCCCGAGUAGCUGGGACUACAGGCACCUGCCACCAGACCUGGCUAAUUUUUGUAUUUUUAGUAGAGAUGAGGUUUCACCAUGUUGGCCGGGCUGAUCCUGAACUCCUGACCUCAACUGAUCUGUCUGCCUCGGCCUCCCAAAGUGCUGGGAUUACAGGUGUGAGCCACUGUGCCCAGCUAAAAAUUCUUCAUAUGCCAAGAUACCAAGAAAGAUGUUUCUCCUAAGGCUAAUUAAUAACUGUCAUUAAAUUAAGUUUAGUUAUAUUAUCAUUGACUUCGUAGCUAUCAGUUAACUUUUUUUUUUUUUUUUUGAGAUGAAGUUUCACUCUUGUCACCCAGGUUGGAGUGCAAUGACGUGAUCUCGGCUCACCGCAACCUUUGCCUCGUGGGUUCAAGCAAUUCUCUUGCCUCAGCCUCUCAAGUAGCUGCGAAUACAGCUGUGCGCCACCACGCCUGGCUAAUUUUUGUAUUAUUAGUAGAGACGGGGGUUUCACCAUGUUGGCCGUGCUAGUCUCAAACUCCCGACAUCAGGUGACCCACCCACCUUGGCCUCCCAAAGUGCUGGGAUUACAGGCAUGAGCAACUGCGCCCAGCCUAGGUAACUUUCAUUAGUUUUUUAAAAAUUGGCUAAUAUUUUUACAGUAAAAAAAAAAAACCUUUGUAUUUUGGAGAAAAUAUUUAAGAGCUAAGAGACUAAUUCUUAUUCAACAAUCAUGGAUAAACUAUUCAUCAACUACUUAGGGUUUCACAGUACUUCCAAAUUUCUUUAAAGCAAGAUGUUCAAAGAAAAACCCUUCCCAAAAGUAUGAAUAAAGCACUGUAUAACAGCAGAAGAAAGACAUUCUAUCUAGUAACUUUCACAAGUUCCCUCAACUAACAAAAUUGGUAUAAAAUUAUAAAAAGAACUACCAACGUUUUUCUUACCCAAUAUUCCAUUAUACAUUUAAGACUACCUAAAAUGAAUUACAUUAGUAAUAAGUUUAUCCGAAUAACAUCUCAAACAUAUCUAUCCUUAUUGGACUUUAGUUUUUCACUGUAUUACCAGUCUCAGGUUUUUUGAUUACAGAGAUUGUGUAAACGUAUUAUCUUGAAACCCCAUUUAUUUGGCAUGACAAAUCAAGUGAUAAAAAUUCUACAAUGUAACAUAAAAGUGGUCACAUCUACCCCUAAUAUUUCUGCAAGAGCAAAUAAAUACAUACCUUUAUUUGAACUAGGAAAUCUCUUAAAUGUUCCUUGAAAGCAGGAAUAUCUUGAUUUAAGCUGAAAAGCCCUGUCACAAAGAGCUUUACUUGAGCACUGCAAAUCAAAACACAAUGAUUAAAUAAUGAUUUAUUUUUCCCCCGAGACAGAGUAUUGCUCUGUCACCAGGCUGGAGUACAGUGGCAUGAUCUCUGCUCACUGUAAUCUCUGCCUCCCGGGUUCAAGACAUUCUCCUGCCUCAGCGUCCCAAUAAUGUUUUUUUUUUUUAAUCAAGAAUUUUUUUUUAAUUUUUGAGACAAAGUUUUGCUCGUUUACCAGGUUGGAGUACAAUCGCACAAUCGCGGCUCACCGCAACCUCUGAAGCUAUUCUCCUGCCUCAGCCUCCCAAGUAGCUGGGAUUACAGGCAUGCACCACCAUGCCCGGCUAAUUUGUAUUUUUAGUAGAGACAGGGUUUCUCCAUGUUGGUCAGGCAAAUCUCAAACUCCUGACCUCAGGUAAUCUGCCCGCCUAGGCCUCCCAAAGUGCUUGGAUUACAGGCGUUUGCCACCGUGCCCAGCCUUUUUAUUUUUUGAGACAGUCUUGCUCUGUCACCCACACUGGAGUGCAGUGGCACAAUCUCGGCUCACUGCAACCUCUGCCUCCUGGGUUCAAGCAGUUCUCCCCCUCAGCCUCCCAAGUAGCUGGGAUUUCAGGCACCCACCACCAUGCCCAACUAAUUUUUUGUAUUUUUAGUAGAAACGGGGUUUCACCAUCUUGGCCAGGCUGGUCUUGAACUCCUGACCUUGUGAUUCACCCACCUCAGCCUCCCAAAGUGUUGGGAUUACAGUCAUGAGCCACCGUGCGUGGCCUUUUUUUUUUUUUUUUUUUUUUUGCUUUUUUAAAGAGGCAGGGUCUCACUCUAUCACCCAGGCUGGUGUACAGUGGUGCGAUCAUAGCUCACUGCAGUCUUAAACUCCAGGAUGCAAACAACCCUCUCGCCUCAGCCUCUCCAACAGCUGGUCCUACAGAUGCAUACCACUUCUGACUACUUUUUUUUUUGUAGAGACGGGAUCUUGUUUUGUUGUCUAGGUUGGUCUCCAACUUUUGGGCCCAAGCAAUCCUCCCACCUUAGGCUUCCCAAAGUGCUGGGAUUACAGGUGUGAGCCACUGUGCCCGACCAGGAACAUUCUACGUUUAUUAAAAGGUAUAUUUACUCUUGUAGGUGAGGGAAGGCCGACUUAAGGAGAUUAGCCACAUAUUCCUGAAGAAAGAUUUGGUUGUUAACUGGAUUUCCAGGAUUUAAUGAUGUACUUAUUUUUCCUUCUUCAACCAAAUUAAACAUAUAUGCAAGAAUUGAUGCAUGCAUUGUUAAACCUGUUGAUAAGAAGAAAAUUAUUAACUCCAAAAUGUAAUAUAACUAUAGAUCUUAGCGUUUUUUUUUGUUUUGUUUUUUUUUUUUAGACGGAGUCUCGCUCUGUCACCCAAGCUGGAAUGCCGUGGCGCAAUCUUAGUUCACUGCAACCUCUGCCUCCUCGGUCCAAGCCAUUCUCCUGCCUCAGCCUCCCGAAUAGGUGGGAUUGCAAUCACAUGCCACCAUGCCCAGUAUUUUUAUUGUAUCUUUUAUUUUUUUAUGGUAUUUUUAGUACAGACAGUUUCACCAUGGUGGCCAGGCUGUUCUCGAACUCCUGACCUCAUAAUCUCCCCGCCUCGACCUCCCAAAGUGCUGGGAUUAUAGGCGUGAGGCCCUGUGCCCAGCUGGCACUUAACAUUUAAAUCGUAUUAAAUUCUUACCAGCAGUAUGUGAAGUGUCUGUCACAACAGAAAAGAUAUGCUGGAGAAUAUCACAAAAAUAAGUUUGAUAAAAACUCUGAGCUGCAGCUUCUUCUUGUGCAACAUUUUGUAAGAGUGUAAAAAGUAUCUGUAAGCCUAAAAGACAUAGAAUACCAAUGGAAAGUUACUACAGACUGACAGCACUCAUGAUAGUAUUUAGCUCUUAUCAAAGUAUUCUGAAUCUAACCCUGUUCUCCCUUUUUUUUGGGAUGAUGACUAAUAAUUACUUGCAUAAGGUUUCUUAAAUUAAUAAUGGAAUACAACUAUAUCCAAUGCUGGCUUACUUAUAAAUUAUAAUAAGUUGUGUGAGAGCUAAACUGUGAAGAUGUAAAGGCAUAAAGAUCAUAUAAUGGACUUUGGGGACUUGUGGGGAAGGGCAGGAGUGGGUGAGGGAUAAGACUACACAUAAGGUGGAGUUCAUACACAUGAGGGAUAAGACUACACAUAAAGUAGAGUUCAUACUGCUCACAUGACAGGUGCACCAAAAUCUCAGAAAUCACCACUGAAGAACUUAUUCAUGUAACCAAAAACCACCUGUUCCCCAAAAACUAUUGAAAUAAAAAAAGAACCUCAUGAAUAUUUUUUAAAAGCCUAUGGGAAAAAAAUUACAAUCUAAGUUAUGACUAUUACCACCCUUUCACCAUUUCUGAAAGCUCAGCUGAUUCUAUAUGAACUUCUACAACAUCACUACCCAGUAGAACUUUGUAUUACGCAAACCAAUUAUUACUAGGCCGCUCUCCCCAUAACUCAAUUCUGCCUAUGGACUCACUUGGAGUGGAGUGGAACAGUUGAUUAAACUGCUUAUAGGAUUUUCUCAGAUGUUCAUAUAUGUAAUUCACACACUCAAAACUCUGAACAAGUAAUACCUUCCUAUGUACAAUUAACUAUAUUUGUAUUUUUGGAUUGGCAGGCAAAUGAAUAAAAGAACAUCUUUUAUUUACCCGUAUCUGCGACAUUCCUCAUAGUAUGUUUGAAAGCCCAAAUGAUGGAAUCCAAAACAAGUUUAAACUGUGUAGGUGGAAUAGCAAGGAAUGCUGGGAAACAAUGAGAAUUGACAGCCUGAAGUAGUAAGAAAAAGUUCGUUCUAUGUUCAGGAUAUUCUUCAAAGUCCUAAAAAUAAGUGGUGGAAACAAAAUAAUGUUUCAGUGUCUUUGUUGUGCUAGACAGGAGGGGAAAAGCAAGGCUUAAUCCAGUAUAAAUAUUUGGAGUUUUCAAUAAACCACAGAAGAUAGAAUGCCUCCUGAAAGGUAAACCCAAGUAAAAUACAAUCCACCUCUCACGGAAAAUGAAACUGUCCCGUUACGCACAUGAGUUAUCAAAUUGAAGGAGAAAGACAACCUUUUUAAUAGAGAACUCAUCUAAACCAUUAUUACCAUAAGACUACUACUAUCACUUUUGUUUUUAAUUUGAAAUCACCACUACAGAUUACAAAAAAAUUUAAGUUACCGUGUAAAUGUGUCCACUUAACGUAUCUUUUAUCUCUUUUUUCUUUUUAAACAGUCUCACUCUGUCACCCAGGCUGUAGUGCAGUGGCGCAAUCUCAGCUGACUGCAACCUCCGCCUCCUGGGUUCAAGAGAUUCUCCUGCCUCAGCCUCCCGAGUAGCUGGGACUACAGGCAUGCGGCACCAUGCCCAGCUAAUUUUUUUUCUUUAGACAGAGUCUUGCUCUGUCACCCAGGCUGGAGUGCGUGGCGCGAUCUUGGCUCACUGCAAGCUCCGCCUCCCGGGUUCAUGCCAUUCUCCUGCCUCAGCCUCUCCGAGUAGCUGGGACUACAGGCGCCCACCACCACACCCGGAUAAUUUUUUGUAUUUUUAGUAGAGACAGGGUUUCACCAUGGUCUCCAUCUCCUGACCUCGUGAUCUGCCCACCUCGGCCUCCCAAAGUGCUGGGAUUACAAGCGUGAGCCACGGCACCCAGCCUAAUCUUUGAGUAGAGAUGGGGUUUCACCAUGUUGGUCAGGCUGGUCUUGAAAUCCUGACCUCAGGUGAUCCACCGGCCUCGGCCUCUCAAAGUGUUGGGAUUACAGGUGUUGAGCCACCACGCCUGGCCAUUUUUGUAUUUUUAAUAGAGAUGGGGUUUUGCCACGUUAGGCAGGCUGGUCUUGAACUCCCGACCUCAGGUCAUCCGCCCGCCUUGGCCUUCUGAAGUGCUGGGAUUACAGGUGUAAGCCACCAUGGCCAGCCUAUUUUCUCUUGUUAACACAUUUUUCAGUUUCUUAUAAGCAUAUACUACACUUUUAUAAUUGAAACAUGCAGACUUACUUUCUCAUUUAUUCAAACCAAUUAAUACAACUACGUUCAUAAAAGGAUGCCCCGACCUAUGAGGUUUCAAUAAAUGCUACAUACCAUGUGAAUGCUAAAAUCUGUUUUCCAUAUUUACUUUUUACCAAUCAAGAUUCUGUGUAGUAAAUUCUUCUUCUUGGAGUGCAGUGGCGCAAUCUCAGCUCACUGCCAUCUUGAACUCCCAGGCUCAAGUGACCCCCCCCCCCACUUCAGCCUUUCGAGUAGUUGGGACUACCGGCACAUGCCACCAUGACUGGUUACUUUUUGAACUUUUUGUAGAGAUGAAGUCUCACUAUAUUGCCCAGGUUGGUUUCAAACUCCUGGGAAGUAAGUUCUUGAAAACCAAGAAAGUAUUUCCCUAAUAUACAAGUUUAAAUAUUUAAACUCCAUGGCAUUAAAAUUAUGUUAUAUCCACAGACAUACUUUAGCUUUCAAGAAUUAAGGCUAUCCUGCAGAAUUUCCCCCUUACAUAACUGAAAUAUUACACACCUUAUUUAUCAUAUUCAAUGUGCAUUCAAAAACAGCAUCAAAUAUUUGAGGUAUUUCAGCUGUUAUAUGUCCCCCUAACUUGUUGACAAUUAUGGCCAUAGUACUAAGCACUUCUGGUUCUCUAGCAGCUGGGACAUUUCUCUGAUAAUCAAUGAGAACUGCAUCCAACAGAGGGGGAACAAAAUUUUCAGCGACCUGUUGGGGAGGGAAAAAAAAGUUAUGUUUUAAUUUAGGUACAUGGUGACUAUUUUAAACAACAAGGUUAUUCCUGUCUAUGAGAUGUAGCAUGAUCAUCUACUGAAAACAGGAAAAUCUUGUGUUUGUAUUAGGGUUUCCUACGUCAAAACAGUUUUUAGCAAAAGAAAGCAGGAAAUCACAAUGGGUUGGGAAGUCUCAUGGACACACUGUCAUUCAAGACUUUUUUUUUUUGAGACAGUCUCACUGUCACUCAGACCAGAGUGCAGUGGCAAAUCUCUGCUCACUGCAACCUCCACCUCCCAGGUUCAAGCAAUUCUUGUGCCUCAGUCUCCUGAGUAGCUGGGACUAUAGGUAUAGCACCAUGCCCAGCUACAAAAC